ACGAACGCUGGCGGCGUGCUUAACACAUGCAAGUCGAACGAGGUCCAUCCACUCGCAAGAGUGGUGAAGACCUAGUGGCGAACGGGUGAGUAACACGUGAGAAACCUGCCCCGAAGACCGGGAUAACUCACCGAAAGGUGAGCUAAUACCGGAUACCUUCACGACGUCUCAUGGCGAUGUGAAGAAAUGGAUUCCGCUUCGGGAGGGUCUCGCGGCCUAUCAGCUUGUUGGUGAGGUAACGGCUCACCAAGGCGACGACGGGUAGCUGUUCUGAGAGGAAGAUCAGCCACACUGGGACUGAGACACGGCCCAGACUCCUACGGGAGGCAGCAGUGGGGAAUCUUGCGCAAUGGGCGAAAGCCUGACGCAGCAACGCCGCGUGCGGGAUGAAGGCCUUCGGGUUGUAAACCGCUUUCAGUGGGGACGAAAACAGACGGUACCCACAGAAGAAGCCCCGGCCAACUACGU
rnacentral:rRNA from 1 species